UUGCUAGUAUUGUCAGCUAAGUGGCGCACGGGUGAGUAAUAUAUAGUUAAUCUGCCCCAAAGAAGAGAAUAAUUGUUGGAAACGACUUGUAAUGCUCUAUAUGCCUUUAUUACAUAAGUAAGCAAGGGAAACAUUUAUGGCUUUGGGAUGAGACUGUACGGUAUCAGCUAGUUGGUGAGGUAAUGGCUCACCAAGGCUAUGACAUCUAACUGGUUUGAGAGGAUGAUCAGUCACACUGGAACUGAGACACGGUCCAGACUCCUACGGGAGGCGGCAGUGGGGAAUAUUGCACAAUGGAGGAAACUCUGAUGCAGCAACGCCGCGUGGAGGAUGACACAUUUCGGUGCGUAAACUCCUUUUAUAUGAGAAGAUAAUGACGGUAUCAUAUGAAUAAGCACCGGCUAACUCCGUGCCAGCAGCCGCGGUAAUACGGGGGGUGCAAGCGUUACUCGGAAUCACUGGGCGUAAAGAGCAUGUAGGCUGGUUUGUAAGUUGGAAGUGAAAUCCUAUGGCUUAACCAUAGAACCGCUUCCAAAACUGCAGACCUAGAAUAUGGGAGAGGUAGAUGGAAUUUCUGGUGUAGGGGUGAAAUCCGUAGAGAUCAGAAGAAUACCGAUUGCGAAGGCGAUCUACUGGAACAUUAUUGACGCUGA
rnacentral:rRNA from 1 species